UUUGGUGACGACGGUGUGGACUUUAAACGGGGGGGGUUGGACGUCAGCUGUUUGAGACAACACGCUGCUCACCAACAUGUCAGGAGCUGCAGCAGAAAGCGCUGCAUCCGAACCUGGCGGUCAGGAUUCCUCCUGAGGCGGCUCCACGUCUACCCUCUGCGGACAGAAAGCACGGGACAGCUGCUGAAGUUGUAAACAGGAUCAUUCAAUGUCACCUUGUGCUCAGGAGUCAAUACUUCGUUACCACUUCAGCAGAGGGGAUUUGUCCCGAACACAGACAAGAAGAAAACAGACGGGUGGAGAAAGUACUCAAACGUCUUUCUCAAGCAAAAGUACAAAUAAACAGAACAAAAUCUUACUAAGUUAAAGCAAAAAUACGUUUUCUACUUGACCAAAAUCCCCGAAGGAGGAUACACUUGUGUAGACAUCAGGGGUCUUGGGGUUUCCGCAUCGCCGGCCAGAGAAGGAGACACGCCUGCUGCAGCUCCAUCACACACCAGAGGGCCACCUGAAUCCCCCUUGAAGAGAAAACAUACAUGUCACUUAACAGGGCCUUGAAAAGCUUUCGCUCCUUCACUGCAAACCAUUGAUCUAGAGAUGGGAACCGAUCCCCAUCUCCUACGACAUGUCCGCCGUGACAGCGUGGUUACGUUGACUUCCUGAAGCGUGUUGGGUUUGGUUCCGUCAUCCCCUAUGUCCCCCCAGCCGGCUGUGAGGCAGCGACUUCCUGUUGCCACCCUGCUUGUUUUCAGAGAGAUCAGCUGCACUGCUGCACUCAGUUGUGCCAUGCCGUUCAGCUGAGAUGAGGGGAUUGAUGAUUGAGAAAUACAGAAAAAACAUCUGGUUUUAUGGUUUUUGUGCAAGCUAGAGACAAUACUGAAAAUGUGAAAGUGCUGUAGACAACAGUUGAAACUGUCCUCACCUUCAGGAGCAUGAUGUCAUUUGCAUGGUUCUCAUACCCGGGAUAGGGAAUGGAUCUGAUAGCUCUGAAUUCCUGCUUUGUACUCUCGUUAGCUGACAGGGAAUCAACGCCGAGCACAACUGUGUAUGUUCUAGAAAUCACAAUUUAAUGAAGACUAGACAUUAGAUAUGAUGUCAAGGCUGCAAAUACACAGAAAUCAUUUUCCACAUUGGUCUGUGUUCUGAUGUGAGAUGCUGAGAAUGAACACUGACUAACUAGAUUAACUUUGAGAUUUAGAUGGUUAUUUUAUCAUUUAUUAAACCUUCCUCAGAAGUUCUUGAGGACAAAUCCUUGUCAUGUGUGAUGAAAUGUAGAUAUGAGGUUCAAAGUCCUUAACUUGUCCUUUACUUCCAUAAAAAGGAUAUGUUUGGACUCCGCUUCAGUGGACAUGUUGAGACAUUCUAACGUUGGGUUAGAAGACCAGAGAUAAAGAUUGGGGUCUCGGUCUACUGUGUUUUAUCUAAUCUUAUCUCAAACAUGUGACACACGUGGUCUGUCAGAGAGUUUGUGGAAGAGUCUUUCUGUUCUCAGCUGACGGCAUUUUGGACUGAUGAAGCAUUGCAACUUUUUUAAAUGAUAGAACAAUAUGUUAUUGUAAAUCUUUACUUUAGAAACUACAGCAAUUGGUGACAGUGAUGAGUUGAAGUUCAUACUCUUUUUCAGCAAAGUUCAACAGUUAAGAUGAAUGGAAAUUUAUCAGAUAAAUGUGGCCUUUGUUAUUGCUUAAUUAAUGACAGUUAUAUCAGUUUCCUCUUUUCUACAAGGUUACAUUACUUGUGGUUAAAAAACAGUGUUGAAGAAGGAAUGUGGUUUUGAGUCAUGCAACAUACCACAGCCUGAAACUGAACUCAUCUGUUGGGAACAGAAAGUACAUCUUUAUUAAAUUCACCAGAAAAACUGUAUUAAACUUUGAUGAAUGUUCUUGUUGAAUAUGACGUGAGUCAGGAAAUAACAGCAUUUUAACGCUGUUGAAUUUGUAUUGGGCUCAAGUAAACACAGGAAAAACUAUUAAAUUCUUUUUUUAAUUGUGA